GAUGAACGUUAGCGACAGGCCUAACACAUGCAAGUCGAGGGGCAGCACGGUGUAGCAAUACACGGGUGGCGACCGGCGCACGGGUGAGUAACGCGUAUGCAACCUGCCUACUACAAGGGGAUAACCCGUUGAAAGACGGACUAAUACCCUAUAACACAGGGAAUCCGCAUGGAUAUAUUUGUUAAAGAUUUAUCGGUAGUAGAUGGGCAUGCGUUCCAUUAGCUUGUUGGUGAGGUAACGGCUCACCAAGGCAACGAUGGAUAGGGGAACUGAGAGGUUGAUCCCCCAACUGGAACUGAGACACGGUCCAGACUCCUACGGGAGGCAGCAGUGAGGAAUAUUGGUCAAUGGACGAGAGUCUGAACCAGCCAAGUCGCGUGAAGGAAGACGGCCCUACGGGUUGUAAACUUCUUUUGUAAGGGAAUAAAUAGUCUUACGCGCUAAGACGUUGCAGGUACCUUACGAAUAAGGAUCGGCUAACUCCGUGCCAGCAGCCGCGGUAAAAGUGUGUGUAC
rnacentral:rRNA from 1 species